UUGACAUCCAGCGAACUUUCCAGAGAUGGAUUGGUGCCUUCGGGAACGCUGAGACAGGUGCUGCAUGGCUGUCGUCAGCUCGUGUUGUGAAAUGUUGGUUAAGUCCCGCAACGAGCGCAACCCUUAUCCUUUGUUGCCAGCGAUUCGGUCGGGAACUCAAAGGAGACUGCCGGUGAUAAACCGGAGGAAGGUGGGGAUGACGUCAAGUCAUCAUGGCCCUUACGAGUAGGGCUACACACGUGCUACAAUGGCGCAUACAAAGAGAAGCGACCUCGCGAGAGCAAGCGGACCUCAUAAAGUGCGUCGUAGUCCGGAUCGGAGUCUGCAACUCGACUCCGUGAAGUCGGAAUCGCUAGUAAUCGUGGAUCAGAAUGCCACGGUGAAUACGUUCCCGGGCCUUGUACACACCGCCCGUCACACCAUGGGAGUGGGUUGCAAAAGAAGUAGGUAGCUUAACCCUCGGGAGGGCGCUUACCACUUUGUGAUUCAUGACUGGGGUGAAGUCGUAACAAGGUAAGCGUAGCGAG
rnacentral:rRNA from 1 species